rnacentral:antisense_RNA from 1 species
UUAUGGUGGGGCGUAUGGGGCCGACUUCGGUCGGGCCGGGUUCGUGUAUAGCCGGUUGUGGAAACCCUGUACGUCUCACCACCC